AAUAGCGGCGGUAGCACGUUGAAUACAACAGUUCCCCACGGAUCACUUAAAUUAAGCAACGUUGCCCGUGGUUCGUAUCUGGAUGGGUGAGCGUCUGAGCAAUCGCGUGCUGCUGGGU
rnacentral:rRNA from 1 species